GUGCUUGCUUCGGCAGCACAAAUACUAAAACCGGAACGAUACAGAGAAGAUUAGCAUGGCCCCUGCACAAGGAUGACACGCAAAUUCGUGAAGUGUUCCGUAUUUUU
ensembl:snRNA U6 U6 spliceosomal RNA